rnacentral:rRNA from 1 species
AGAGUUUGAUCAUGGCUCAGAGUGAACGCUGGCGGCAGGCCUAACACAUGCAAGUCGAGCGGCAGCGCGGGGGCAACCCUGGCGGCGAGCGGCGGACGGGUGAGGAAUGCAUCGGAAUCUACCUCGUUGUGGGGGAUAACGUAGGGAAACUUACGCUAAUACCGCAUACGACCUACGGGUGAAAGUGGGGGACCUUCGGGCCUCACGCGAUGAGAUGAGCCGAUGCCGGAUUAGCUAGUUGGUGGGGUAAAGGCCUACCAAGGCGACGAUCCGUAGCUGGUCUGAGAGGAUGAUCAGCCACACUGGAACUGAGACACGGUCCAGACUCCUACGGGAGGCAGCAGUGGGGAAUAUUGGACAAUGGGCGCAAGCCUGAUCCAGCCAUGCCGCGUGUGUGAAGAAGGCCUUCGGGUUGUAAAGCACUUUUGUUGGGGAAGAAACCGACCGGGCGAAUACCUCGGUUGAAUGACGGUACCCAAAGAAUAAGCACCGGCUAACUUCGUGCCAGCAGCCGCGGUAAUACGAAGGGUGCAAGCGUUACUCGGAAUUACUGGGCGUAAAGCGUGCGUAGGCGGUUGGUUAAGUCUGCUGUGAAAGCCCUGGGCUCAACCUGGGAACUGCAGUGGAAACUGGCCAGCUAGAGUGUGUCAGAGGAUGGUGGAAUUCCCGGUGUAGCGGUGAAAUGCGUAGAGAUCGGGAGGAACACCAGUGGCGAAGGCGGCCAUCUGGGACAACACUGACGCUGAGGCACGAAAGCGUGGGGGAGCAAACAGGAUUAGAUACCCUGGUAGUCCACGCCCUAAACGAUGCGAACUGGACGUUGGGCACACUUAGGUGCUCAGUGUCGAAGCUAACGCGUUAAGUUCGCCGCCUGGGGAGUACGGUCGCAAGACUGAAACUCAAAGGAAUUGACGG